CGCAGCCGCGGUAAUUCCAGCUCCAAUAGCGUAUAUUAAAGUUGUUGCAGUUAAAAGCCCGUAGUUGAAUCUCGGGAUUGACCCAUCGGUCGUGCCUUAAGGGGUAUGAACUGGUGUAGUCAAUUUCUCACCUUCUGGAGAACCGUGAUGUCCUUAAUUGGGUGCCACGAGGAACCAGGACCUUUACUUUGAAAAAAUUAGAGUGUUUAAAGCGGCAUUUUUGCUUGAAUACAUUAGCAUGGAAUAAUAAAAUAGGACGGCAUGAUUCUAUUUUGUUGGUUUCUAGGAUCACCGUAAUGAUUAAUAGGGAUAGUUGGGGGCAUUAGUAUUCAAUUGUCAGAGGUGAAAUUCUUGGAUUUAUUGAAGACUAACUACUGCGAAAGCAUUUGCCAAGGAUGUUUUCAUUAAUCAAGAACGAAAGUUAGGGGAUCGAAGACGAUCAGAUACCGUCGUAGUCUUAACCAUAAACUAUGCCGACUAGGAAUCAGACGAUGUUAAUUUUUUAAUGACUCGUUUGGCA
rnacentral:rRNA from 1 species